rnacentral:rRNA from 1 species
UACGUAGGGGGCAAGCGUUGUCCGGAUUUAUUGGGCGUAAAGAGCGUGUAGGCGGUUUGGUAGGUCGCUGUGAAAACUCGAGGCUCAACCUCGAGACGCCGGUGGAAACCAUCAGACUAGAGUCCGGAAGAGGAGAGUGGAAUUCCUGGUGUAGCGGUGAAAUGCGCAGAUAUCAGGAAGAACACCCGUGGCGUAAGGCGGCUCUCUAGGACGGGUACUGACGGCUGAGACGCGAAAGCGUGGGGAGCGAACAGG